UACGUAGGGUGCGAGCGUUAAUCGGAAUUACUGGGCGUAAAGGGUGCGCAGGCGGUUUUGUAAGUCAGAUGUGAAAUCCCCGGGCUUAACCUGGGAAUUGCGUUUGAAACUACAAAUCUAGAGUGUGGCAGAGGGAGGUGGAAUUCCAUGUGUAGCAGUGAAAUGCGUAGAGAUAUGGAAGAACAUCGAUGGCGAAGGCAGCCUCCUGGGUUAACACUGACGCUCAUGCACGAAAGCGUGGGGAGCAAAC
rnacentral:rRNA from 1 species